rnacentral:misc_RNA from 1 species
CAGAAGACUUGAUGGAACAAUGUCAGUUGCUGCCAGAGAUAAAGCUGUGAAGGAUUUCAAUACACUCCCAGAGGUAUCAGUUAUGAUUAUGUCUUUGAAAGCUGCUAGUCUGGGAUUGAACAUGGUUGCAGCUUGUCGUGUGCUGCUUCUGGACCUCUGGUGGAAUCCUACUACUGAAGAUCAGGCAAUUGAUAGGGCACAUCGCAUAGGGCAGACUCGUCCUGUUACUGUUUUGCGUUUAACCGU